CUCCUGACCUCGUGAUCCGCCUGCCUCGGCCUCCCAAAGUGCUGGGAUCACGGCAUGAGCCACCGCACCCGGCUGUGUCCACCUAUCUUAUUUUCUUGGUGUUUCUACAGCAUCCACAUAACACUCCCCGGUCAUGGUUUAUUUACUUCAUAUUUUUCUUUGCAUCCACUCACUUUUUACUUAGCUCAACCUAAGCUAUAAUGUCCAUAAAAUCAUGGUCUUCAUGAAGCCUAUCGUCUUCUCAUACAUCAGCAUAAAUACAUAAGUAUUGGAAUUUGUAAUGAAAGGUUUGUUCAUGAACCGAAUGGAAUAACUUGUGGGUGCCAUUUGUAGCCUACUUGGCCUUAUCUUGUUCAGUUCUCUCAGGUUUGCUAGAAGGUGUCCUUGCUUUCAUUUGACAGGUGAGGAAGUAGAGAAGUUUAGACAGUCACUUAACAUCACACAGCUAAGAAGUGGCAGAGUCUGGAUUGGGACACAGAUCUUUUUGGGUUUUAAAGCCCAAGUUAUUUGCAUCAGCUUUUCAGAAGAAGUAAAGGGUGGAUGAUGACCGAGUGUCUCCUGGGUUGGAUGGACAGAUUGAGAGCUUGUAAGAACAGGCAUAAAUGGUUAGAUGAGGCCAAUAGGACUUCCUGCCCCUUCUUGGGAGGCAGAGAUGACUUUGGCCACGGUCCUAUAGGUUCCCAUGGAUUUUGCUAUAGGACUUGCUUAUACUAUGAGAAUUGCUCCUGGGUCACCACUGCUGUGGCAUGAUGAGCCUGUAGUCAUCUCAUGAAAUAACAGUAAUCCUUUGGGAGGCCGAGGCAGGGAGAUCACCAGGUCAAGGGAUCGAGACCAUCCUGGCCAACAUGGUAAAACCCCGUCUCUACUAAAAAUACAAAAAUUAGCUGGGCAUGGUGGCAUGCACCUGUAGUCCCAGCCACUCAGGAGACUGAAGCAGGAGAAUCGCUUGAACCUGGGAGGCAGAGGUUGCAGUGAGCUAAGACUGAGAUUGCACCAAUGCACUCCAGCCUGGUGACAGAGUGAGACUCUGUCUCAAAAAAAAAAGAGAAAAAAGAAAGAAAUAACAGUAAUCAAUAUUGACUCCUGCACAAAAGCCCAGGGGAGUGAGGUUGUAGGGAGGACAGCACGUGGGAUUGUCCCCACAGAGCCACUGCACAGUCCCAAGGAUGACAGGGGGCCCCUCCUUUGUAUCGCAGGCUGAUUGGUAUUCAGCCCUCAAGGAAGUGCCCUUGAGGAAAAAACAAUCGCCUUAAUGGGUUCUGAAUGAGCCUUACUGCCAGCCAUUGUUGGAAGGCCACAGGGAGGAGACUCAGCUGCCCCUGAGGAGUGGCAGUGAUGGCCCAGUGCAGAGCUGAUCCUGUGUUUUGGGGCAAUUUCACAUGAGAUGAAACAUCAGGCGCUGCUGGGGAGGCCUGCCGAGAAGGGCGGCCCCACUGGGCAGUGAAAGCACCUACUCCAGUUUAAGGGUGGAAUCUUGGGGCAGAGGAAGAAGGGACCAGAUAAAGUUGGCAAGCCCAGCGAGGUGUCCAGGAUAUUAGCAGGGAAGAAAAACCUCCUCUGGCAACGAUAAUCACAUUGUUCCGUCAAAUUCUUAAGUCAUCGUUAUUGAAGGUCCCACAUUUGGAUGACUGUGCUUCGACGUACUGCUAGUCUGUACGGGGACUUUGCAGGGCUAAAAAAGUCAGCCUCUUAGCAGAAGACCAGAGCUCACCGAUGCAGGGCGUGGUGAGCAAAGCACUGGUUGGAUUUCAGCCCCUAUUUGCCACUUUGCGGUACACAAAUCAUACAACUAUUUGCAGUGACCCCAAGGAAGAUCUAACUUGUGUUUCAAUAAAAAAUAUCUGUGAGGCCAGGCAUGGUGACUCACACCUGUAAUCCCAGUACUUUGGGAGGCUGAGGUGGGCGGAUCACCUGAAGUCAGGAGGUCAGGAGUUCUAGACCAGCCUUGCCAACAUGGUGAAACCCCGUCUCUACUAAAAAUACAAAAAUUAGUUAGGCGUGGUGUUGCAUGCCUUUAAUGCCAGCUACUUGGGAGGCUGACAGGAGAAUCGCUUGAACCCAGGAGGCGGAGGCUGCAGUGAGCCAAGAUCGCACUACUGCACUCCAGCCUGGGUGACAGAGUAAGACUCUGUCUCCAAAAAAAAAUAAUAAAGUAAAAUUUGUGGGCCAGGCACAGUGGUGCAUACCUGUAAUCCUAGCACUUUGAGAGACCAAAGUGGGAGGAUCACUUGAGUCCAGGGGUUUGAGACCAGCUUGGGCAACAUAGUAAAACCUCAUCUCUAUGAAAAAUUUUAAAAAAUUAGCUGGGCAUAGUGGCACACACCUGUAGUCGCAGCCACUCAGGAGGCUAAGGUGGGAGGAUGACUUGAUCCCAGGAGGUUGAGGCUGUAGUGAUCUAUGAUCAUGUUACUGCAUUCCAGCCUGGGUGACAGAGCGAGACCCCACCUCUACAAAGAUUAAAAAGUUAGCCAGACAUCAUGGUGAAACCCCGUCUCUACUAAAAAUACAAAAAAUUAGCCGGGUGUGGUGGUGGGCAUCUGUAGUCCCAGCUACUCGGGAGGCUGAGGCAGGAGAAUGGCGUGAACCCGGGAGGCAGAGCUUCCGGUGAGUGGAGAUCAUGCCAUUGCACUCCAGCCUGGGUGACAAAGCAAGACUCCGUCUCAAAAAAAAAGCUAGCCAGACACGUAGACCUAACUACUUGGAAGGCUUAGGUGGGAACAUUGCUUCAGCCCAGGAGUUCAAGGCUGCAGUGAGCCAAGAUUGCACCACUGCAUUCUGGCCUGGGUGAUUGAGUGAGACUCGGUCUUGAAAAAAAAAUGUUAACAGUUCUCUGGUAUUCCAUAAUAAACUAUCUGAAAACUGAGUGGCUUAAAACAUUAAUUUUGUUUUGUUCCUAAUUUUGUGGAUCAGGACCUUAGGAAGGGCUCUGCUGGGAGGUUUGUCUCGGCUCCAUGUGUUGUCCACUGGGGCUGGAGGAUCCACUUCUAAGACUUUAUCGUCCGUCUGUCUGGUGCUUUGUUCCUCCUUGACCCCUCUGUCUGUUUCUCUCCAGGUAGCAUCAAGCAUCUUCCUGUGGCUUGAUUGUCUCACAGCUGGAUGGCCUCAGGGUAGUGUCACUUCUGAUGUGGUGGCUGGCCUCCAGCAGGCAGGAAGGUGGAAGCUGCCAUAAAGUUAAGGGCUACACUUAAAACUGGCACAGCAUCACUCCUGCCAUAUUCUGUUGCUCAAAGCAGUCACAGGGCCUGUCCAGAUUCUAAGGACGGGAAAAAUAAGUCCCACCUCUUGAAGGGAUGGGGGUGGCAAAGUCACCUUGCAGAAGAGCAUAUGGGAUAGGAAAUAUAGCUGUGGUCAUCUUUGGAAAAUGCAGUCUGUCACUCCUUAAUUGGCAGGGAUUUUUCAGGAGCCUUGUAGUGAUUCUCCUAUCUUAGACUGCCUUAGAAUCCCAUAAAAAGAAUAAUGACAGACAAAGCACAGGCAUGUUCUCCUAAGAUCGAAAUAUAUGUCUGAGUCUUGAUUUUCCAUGGCUUCUCCAUGGAGUCCUAAUGAUUGAGCUGUAAGGUUACUCUAAUAAGGUAAACAAGCUGGCGGAGUAGAAAUAAUCCCAACACAAGUCACAGCUGUGGCAGAAGGGAAGCCGAUAUUAAUACAUGCAUACCUGUGGUGGUGCAAGAGUGGUUGACUCGUGUUUGGUGUUUGGUGUGGGCCCAAAGACAAGAGGAUCUAGCUUGGACCAACUCAUCUCCCAUCCAAGCAUUAGAAAUCUGAAGUGUGUUUUAUUGAGUCCAGCAACAAAGAUUCAGUUGCUGAAAUGGAGACAGAUUCAGACAGUAAGGUGAUGUUUUUGGUUGGAAUUUUCUUCAAAGCUAAGCCCUGGGGUCAUUAUUGGGCAUUAGUCUCCCUUUAAAAAUAUGGUGUAAUAAAUGACAUGCACACACAUUCAAUAGAAAGAACAUUUGCACCCUUCGCAAAAAAAAAUCUGAAUAAUUAGCCUAGUACAUUUUUUUGGAUAGUGCUAAACUUCACAAAGAAUAAUAGGAAGAGAGGUUGCAUAUUAAUUAUAUUUGGAGAGGAGUUGCCUUGUUCUCUUGAAGUGUUCCAGAUAGAAGAAGCCUUGGAUAGCAACCGAGUCCUGGCUACUUAGCUAUGACUAUGAGCAGGUACCUACCCUGCGUCUCCCUUUAUUCACCUAUAAAAUGAAAAAAAUUACCUAACCCUGGGACUCUUUUAGGUAUGAAACAAUGCAAUACAGUUUUUAAAAAUUGCUUUGUGAGUUCAGAAGUUCUUUACCCAUUGAGCCAUUAUUGCUAAUAAUAAUUAGCGUAGCACGUUUCUGUUGCCUAAGAAUUAACAUUAGCCAUUACUUCCUGGCUCAUUUAAAAAUAUAAUUUAUAGGGUCUAUCAUUUCUUGAAAAUACGAAAUUAAAAAAUUAUGUGUAUAACUCUAGCAUUACCUAGGGUUUGGGCACAAGCUAUAAUUUGGGCACUUGUGGCUUAUAUACACAUUAAUUAAAUUAUUUUUGCUAGUUUUGGAUAACGUGGGUAGCACUUUCUAAGAUGAAAGGCUUGAUCCUACAAAGACAAAAGAGCAAGCCAUUAGAUGAUAUUUUGCUGCUUUGAAUAAACUUCACCCAGUCAUUGAGCCCUAUUGAAUGGACUAACAGUAAUGAGUGGAUUACUCUCCUUCCAAUAGAUUUUGGAUUCAUUAUUUAUCAACAAAUAGUUCUUUGAGGGCCAGUGAGGGGAAAUUAUCCUUGCUAUGAGUGACCCAGUGGUUUCCUAACUCCUGUCUCAUGGAAUGUUCCUGCCUUCAUGAACUAGCCAAGGUCAUUCCAUACUCAAAUCAAAGGAAGCAGGCUCCCUCUCUUUCAAUUUACAGAAGGAAAAAGAGGUCCGUGGAUUAACUUUUCCCUAUACUGCGUGCUUACUGCUAAAUUGAAAGACCACUGUAUUAUGCUGUGUACUAGGGUUGGGCGAAUCUGGCCCACUGCCUGUUUUUGUAAAUAAAGCUUUAUUGGAACACA